UGAUGGACACGCCGCGUGAGCGAUGAAGGCCUUCGGGUCGUAAAGCUCUGUUGUUAGGGAAGAACAAGUAUCGGAGUAACUGCCGGUACCUUGACGGUACCUAACCAGAAAGCCACGGCUAACUACGUGCCAGCAGCCGCGGUAAUACGUAGGUGGCAAGCGUUGUCCGGAAUUAUUGGGCGUAAAGCGCGCGCAGGCGGUCCUUUAAGUCUGAUGUGAAAGCCCACGGCUCAACCGUGGAGGGUCAUUGGAAACUGGGGGACUUGAGUGCAGAAGAGGAAAGCGGAAUUCCACGUGUAGCGGUGAAAUGCGUAGAGAUGUGGAGGAACACCAGUGGCGAAGGCGGCUUUCUGGUCUGUAACUGACGCUGAGGCGCGAAAGCGUGGGGAGCAAACAGGAUUAGAUACCCUGGUAGUCCACGCCGUAAACGAUGAGUGCUAAGUGUUAGGGGGUUUCCGCCCCUUAGUGCUGCAGCUAACGCAUUAAGCACUCCGCCUGGGGAGUACGGCCGCAAGGCUGA
rnacentral:rRNA from 1 species